AGAGUUUGAUCCUGGCUCAGGACGAACGCUGGCGGCGUGCUUAACACAUGCAAGUCGAGCGAUGAAGCUCCUUCGGGAGUGGAUUAGCGGCGGACGGGUGAGUAACACGUGGGUAACCUACCUCAAAGAGGGGGAUAGCCUCCCGAAAGGGAGAUUAAUACCGCAUAAUAAUCAGUUUUCACAUGGAGACUGAUUUAAAGGAGUAAUCCGCUUUGAGAUGGACCCGCGGCGCAUUAGCUAGUUGGUAGGGUAACGGCCUACCAAGGCGACGAUGCGUAGCCGACCUGAGAGGGUGAUCGGCCACAUUGGAACUGAGAGACGGUCCAGACUCCUACGGGAGGCAGCAGUGGGGAAUAUUGCACAAUGGGCGAAAGCCUGAUGCAGCAACGCCGCGUGAGUGAAGAAGGUUUUCGGAUUGUAAAGCUCUGUCUUUGGGGACGAUAAUGACGGUACCCAAGGAGGAAGCCACGGCUAACUACGUGCCAGCAGCCGCGGUAAUACGUAGGUGGCGAGCGUUGUCCGGAAUUACUGGGCGUAAAGAGUGCGUAGGCGGAUAUUUAAGUGAGAUGUGAAAUACCCGGGCUUAACCCGGGCACUGCAUUUCAAACUGGAUAUCUAGAGUGCGGGAGAGGAGAAUGGAAUUCCUAGUGUAGCGGUGAAAUGCGUAGAGAUUAGGAAGAACACCAGUGGCGAAGGCGAUUCUCUGGACCGUAACUGACGCUGAGGCACGAAAGCGUGGGUAGCAAACAGGAUUAGAUACCCUGGUAGUCCACGCAGUAAACGAUGAAUACUAGCUGUAUGCGAUAGACAGUAUGCGGCGGAGCGAAAGCAUUAAGUAUUCCACCUGGGGAGUACGUCGGCAACGAUGAAACUCAAAGGAAUUGACGGGGGCCCGCACAAGCGGAGGAACAUGUGGUUUAAUUCGAUGAUACGCGAGGAACCUUACCCGGGCUUGAAUUGCAGACGAAUAAUGAGGAAACUUGUUAGCCAGCAAUGGCGUCUGUGAAGGUGCUGCAUGGUUGUCGUCAGCUCGUGCCGUGAGGUGUCGGCUUAAGUGCCAUAACGAGCGCAACCCUUAUCAUUAGUUACUAGCAGGUAAAGCUGAGGACUCUAGUGAGACUGCCGCCGUAAGGUGAGAGGAAGGGAGGGAUGACGUCAAAUCAGCACGGCCCUUAUGUCCGGGGCGACACACGUGUUACAAUGGGGGGUACAGAGGGGAGCUACCAUGCGAAUGGGAGCGAAUCCUUAAAAAGCCUCUCUCAGUUCGGAUUGGAGUCUGCAACUCGACUCCAUGAAGCUGGAUUCGCUAGUAAUCGCGCAUCAGCCAUGGCGCGGUGAAUACGUUCCCGGGCCUUGUACACACCGCCCGUCAAGCCAUGGGAGCCGGGGGUACCUGAAGUACGUGAUUCUGCGCAAGUGGGAAGCGUCCUAGGGUAAAACUGGUGACUGGGGCUAAGUCGUAACAAGGUAACC
rnacentral:rRNA from 1 species